rnacentral:tRNA from 1 species
GGGUCGUUAGCUCAGCUGGUAGAGCGCUUCGUUUACACCGAAGAUGUCGGCGGUUCGAACCCGUCACGACCCACCA